rnacentral:tRNA from 1 species
GAUUAAAUGGCUGAAUAUAGGCAAUAGAUUGUAAAUCUAUUUAUGGGAGUAAUCUCUUUAAUCA